rnacentral:rRNA from 1 species
GCCCGCGGCCUAUCAGCUUGUUGGUGGGGUAAUGGCCUACCAUGGCUUCGACGGGUAGCCGGCCUGAGAGGGUGACCGGCCACACUGGGACUGAGACACGGCCCAGACUCCUACGGGAGGCAGCAGUGGGGAAUAUUGCACAAUGGGCGGAAGCCUGAUCCAGCGACGCCGCGUGAGGGAUGACGGCCUUCGGGUUGUAAACCUCUUUCAGCAGGGACGAAGCGCAAGUGACGGUACCUGCAGAAGAAGCACCGGCCAACUACGUGCCAGCAGCCGCGGUAAUACGUAGGGUGCGAGCGUUGUCCGGAAUUAUUGGGCGUAAAGAGCUCGUAGGCGGUUUGUCGCGUCGGCCGUGAAAACCGGGGCUUAACUCUGGGCUUGCGGUCGAUACGGGCAUACUGGAGUUGCCAGGGGAGACCGGAAUUCCUGGUGUAGCGGUGAAAUGCGCAAAUAUCAGGAGGAACACCGGUGGCGAAGGCGGGUCUCUUGGGAUACCUGCCGCUUAGGACGCAAAGCGUGGGGA